rnacentral:rRNA from 1 species
UACGGGGGGAGCAAGCGUUGUUCGGAUUUACUGGGCGUAAAGGGCGCGUAGGCGGCCACCGCAAGUCAGCUGUGAAAGCCCAGGGCUUAACCUUGGAAUUGCAGUUGAAACUGCUAGGCUCGAGUAUGAAGAGGGAUAGUGGAAUUCUUAGUGUAGGGGUGAAAUCCGUAGAUAUUAAGAGGAACACCGGUGGCGAAAGCGACUAUCUAUGUCAUUACUGACGCUGUUGCACGAAAGCGUGGGGAGCAAACAGG